rnacentral:rRNA from 1 species
UUGCAGGCUGCAACUCGCCUGCAUGAAGUUGGAAUUGCUAGUAAUCGCGGAUCAGAAUGCCGCGGUGAAUACGUUCCCGGGUCUUGUACACACCGCCCGUCACACCAUGGGAGUCGGUAACGCCCGAAGUCCGUAGCCUAACCGCAAGGGGGGCGCGGCCGAAGGUGGGUUCGAUAAUUGGGGUGAAGUCGUAACAAGGUAUC